rnacentral:rRNA from 1 species
GACGAACGCUGGCGGCGUGCUUAACACAUGCAAGUCGAGCGGUAAGGCCCUUUCGGGGUACGACGAGCGGCGAACGGGUGAGUAACACGUGGGUGACCUGCCUCUAGCUCUGGGAUAAGCCCGGGAAACUGGGUCUAAUACUGGAUAUGACUCCAUGACGCAUGUUGUGGGGUGGAAAGCCUUGUGCGGCUAGAGAUGGGCCCGCGGCCUAUCAGCUUGUU